CCCUUAGAUGUUCUGGGCUGCACGCGCGCGACAAUGACGUUUGCAACGAGAUACGAGACCGAAAGGUUAAGUUGAUCUAGCAAGCUGCGUCGUGAUAGGGACUGUCGAUUGCAAUUAUUCGACACGAACGAGGAAUUCCUUGUAAUCGCACAUCAUCAGUGUGCGCUGAAUACGUCCCUGCCCUUUGUACACACCGCCCGUCGCACCUACCGAUUGAAUGGUCCGGUGAAGCCUCGGGAUGGUGACCGGUUCGCUUUAUUGUGGGUUGGUUGCGAGAACUUGUCUAAACCUUAUCAUUUAGAGGAAGGUGAAGUCGUAACA
rnacentral:rRNA from 1 species